UACGAAGGGGGCUAGCGUUGUUCGGAAUUACUGGGCGUAAAUGGCGCGUCGGCGGCGUGUCAAGUCAGGCGUGAAAGCCCCGGGCUCAACCUGGGAACCGCGCUUGAGACUGGCAUGCUCGAGUUCGGGAGAGGAUGGUGGAAUUCCCAGCGUAGAGGUGAAAUUCGUAGAUAUUGGGAAGAACACCGAUGGCGAAGGCAGCCAUCUGGACCGACACUGACGCUGAGGCGCGAAAGCGUGGGGAGCAAACAGG
rnacentral:rRNA from 1 species